ensembl:misc_RNA Y_RNA Y RNA
GGCUUAUCUAAGUGCAAUGAUGUUUAUAAUAAAUGGAUCACAGCCAGUUAAAGACUCCUUUGCUCCUUCUCCACGCCCACUGCUUCACUAGACUAGCCUUAA